UUUUUUUUUUUUUGGUUUGUCUUGUACAUAAUCUGGAACCCUUUGUUUGGUUUGUUUGAUGCUAUGUUUCCUUGCUAAAGAUUGAAGCUUGAUGUUUGUUUGAGAUUUUAAUCAUGUUCAGAAAAGAACAACUAGUCUUGUAAAUCAAGGAGGUUGGAGAAAGCUCCAUCUGUUCGUGCAAUUAAUAAAAAAGGCAGCAAGCAUGGCUGGUCUACCGCUGCAGGGUUGUCCCCAUUCCCUCGUUUGAUUAAUUACAUAUUUUGCUCUAGAUUUUCUGUUUCCAAACACUAGAUGAUGUGGCUAAUGUCGGACAGAUCAGGAUCAGAAGAUUAGGAUGGUUUUGCUUGUUAGAAUUGCAAGUUGUGAUUUUGUUUUGCCAAAGGUUGCAGCUAGUGUUAUUGCUAAAAUUAUGUGCCUGACUGUCAAAUUGUUGUGGUUUUUGACGUUUGAAAUCAUAGUUUACUGUUCGAUUGAGAAGUUGGCUAUGUUUGAAUGGGAAAACUACACCUAGGGGACACUCUAAGCGUGCCUAAUCACAGCUGAAAUUGUAUAGCCUUGUUAAAUGGAUGUCUUGCAUGGUCUUUUGUAUGUAUUUCUGGUUUUAAAACACAAAGCUUUCAUGGUGGAAGUGGGUGAAUGUUGAUGACCGUAUUGCUUUGGCUGUUGAAACAUUGAAAUAUUGUUUGUUUGAGUUGAAAAGCAAGCUACGGCUGGAACAGUGUAGGAAGCUGCACAUUAUCUUCAUAUUUCGCUGUUUGUUUUCUUCAGUAGCAGCUCACAAAACUGGUUUUAAUCUUCUUUUGAUAGUUUAAUUUGGUGCUGAAGAAAUGAAAUGGAAGGUUUGGUGUUGAGUUUGUGUGUUUGGGUCUAAAAGUAUUGGAACUACGAUCGAAAGCUGGCUGAAAACAGAUUUUCUGAUUGCCGAAAGUUGCAUGAAGUUGUGUUUGUCUUCCUUGUUCUUGCUGUCUUCUUUUUCCGCAGCGGCUCUCCAAAAAGAAAACUGGUUUUAGUCAUCUAGUUUACUACUUAAGCUUUGUGUUUAAAUGAUCAGUGGUGAAAUUGCAUGCUUAAUCCGAAAACUAUGAAUUGUUGAAUGAGAAAGCCAUGCAGUUUGAAGCUGCAUAUUUGCAGCAGAGGAAGAUUUUGCAGAAGCUGAAGUUUUCGUAUGCAUGCAUGAAACAAUCUUUAAAAAUUUCACUUUAACCUCCCUAAGUUCCCUUUUGUUCUACUAUGACCCAAUAAAUUGAAUAAUCCCCUCAAUUUGGUCCUUGAUAGUUUUAAUUUUUGCAACUUCAUUACUUGUUUACUUCAAUUAGCCACUUUGCUUUGUUUAAUUGCUUUUAAUUCUUAAUUCUAAGGGCUUUCGGACCAAGCGAGCUUGCGUUUACAUACUUUCUUUAAUUUUUCCAAAUAAAUUGGUACCUUGACCAUUUCUUUUAUUUGGAAGACAAAUAAGUGACUUCACCCCAUUAGAGCUCCAUUUCAAGGGAGGUAUAAUUUCUUUUAUCUUUUGUCUCUCCUAUGUGAUCCAACGUGUUAAAUGUGAAUUGCAUGUCUACUUUGCAUUCCUUACUUUGCUUUAAUUCCUUUCAUUUAUUUUUGCUUUCAUUUAUUCUUUAUGGGGUAUGUGUACACCUCUUGGCUUGUAAUAGACAGGGCUUGGCGAGCAUUUUUGUCCAUUUUUCCUUCCCCUUUUGUUUUAGUUAGCAAAUGUAAUGGUUGCAUGCCUAUGUGUUAUAUGUUAAAUGCUUUACUAGGAUCUUGCAUCUAGUCGAGCAUGCUAAGUGUUAAGUGCUACGUGUUUAUAAGUGUUUGGCAUGUCUACUCGCUUUCCAUAGCCUGAAUGAAUGUGAUGGAUGAAUGUACGUUUCCACUAGUCCAACGCUAGUCGGAAUUCAUAGAAUGGGCUAGUCCAACGCUAGACCCUUAGGGAUUUCCCCUCGUUAGCACAUAUUUGCAUGUUCAUUACAUGUCAUGCAUUCUUUUUUAGUUUUAUCAUUUUGCAUGCCCCUCGAACCCCUUUUCCCUCCAUUUUAGGAUUUUUGCAUUUCAUGCUAGCUAUAGGGUUCAUUUGAUUGAGAGUCCCCUUAAAUAUGGGAUAUAGACGAGUGUGGCUUUUUCUAAGCCUUAGCACGCUUGUAUCCUCUCUAUCAAAGGGCAAAUUGAGUCACGAUUUAGGUCUCCCCGUACCCAUUAUGCAUGAAUUCCCUAGGUUCAUGCAUCCACUCUAUCAUUACACUUUCAUUUUUUCAUCCCAUUUGCACACGUACACCUUUUAUCCCUUCACUUGCACACGAACACUUUGUCUCAUUUGCACAUAUGCAUUUUUUAUCCCUUUACUUGCACACGAGCACGUUUGCCUUCAUUUGCACACCUCUCAUAUUUUCUUUCCUUGUUUCAGCAUUCCACUUGCAUUAUUCGUGACCUCUUCGAAGGAUCGUUAUUGGGCUUCACAAUUAAUGUGAUUGGCACCACUUAACCUUUGAAGAGAAAUUUCCCCAAUACCCCUAGGUCUAGGGUUUGCAUUCAUGUAGUGCAUCCAAAUGUAAUAAAUUCUUUGGUUAAAACAAGAGAAUCUUUGAUUAAAUCAACGCAACUAGCCUUGGCUAGGUCGAAGGGGUGCCUUGGAUUUUUAUCCUUGCCUUCCCUUUCGCCAAAUGUGACUCCCGAACCUUUUUCUUUAUUUGCGUGGACUAGGAGUCGUUCAAAAGGGUUUCUUACUUUUUUUUCCUUAAAAAAUUCACUUUUUGGGUGACUUGGUACACCCUAACUCUAUACCAAGUGGCGACUCAAUUUUUCAUAUAAAAAACCCUUUUUGAACUAUUUUUCUUGGGUCAAAUCGUCGCAUUUUCAAAAGUCCCAUUUAGACCCAUUUUUCUUUUAAAUCACAAUUCAUUUUUCAAUCACAAAAUCCAUUUUUAAACCAUUUUAUUUAUUUUAUUCAAAAAAUGGGGCGCGACUGGGCAUAUGUUGAUAACUUCGUAAAGCGUGUUUCAUACUCAGCUACGCUUAAAGUUCCUUGAUGAAGCUUUAUAAAAUCAUCUUCUCUCUUUUUCUUGGACAAGUGGAGGAAGAAAUUUCUCAUUAAAUUCAAGCACGAAGUUUAUCCAAAUUCUCGGAGUUUGAUCUCUUUCCCACUUAUUUCUUAUAACAUUCCACCAUGCUCGGGCUGCUCCUUCAAGUUGAAAUACAGCAAAUGUGACUUGUCUCUCCUCUGUGUAAUCCAAGGCAUCGAAUAUAUUUCUUAUAUUUUCUAACCAAUUCUCAGCCACCUCUGGAUCAGGCCCUCCAGCAAACUUGGGCGGAGAGAAUUUCUGAAACCGCUCUAAAGCUCGAUCCUCCCCUAUCUCUUGGUUUCCACGUUGGUUUCCUUGUCCAACACCUUGACCUUGUUGAGCUACCAAGAGCUCUAGGAUAUCCGUCAUGCGAGUUAAAACUUGUCCUAUCUGGUCAUUUCCUCUCCCAGCACUUAGCUCAACGUUUUGAUCGAUAUCGGACCCAUUAGCUACUCUUUCAUUUCGGGGUUGUCUAGGUUGACGUCCCUUUCGUUGUCCUCUAGUUUCCAUGUCCACAACUAAUCUAUACGCACAUGCAUAACCCUCACACUUAGUUAAAUUGAACUACACUCAUAUACCAGUAGCAACAUUUAAAGAGGAUGAAGACACUUUCACAAAUAACAUUAUCACUAUGCAAGUAAACACAAACUAGAGUUCAUUAAAUCAUAACAUAAAUUAUGGCCAAGUAAAGUUCAUGCCAAGUCAAAGUCAAUAACAAAAAUAAACAAGUGAUUAUCACAAGUACAUUCAUCUCCAAGGCGCAAACUCUUAAGUUCUACUCCCAUCGUCUCACUAUGAAAGAUCACCAGUAGAGAUUCACUAGAUUAAUAGGAACUAGACGAUUCUCGUUCCCUAACAUGCUCGAUUUCAAUCCCAACACAAGGAUCUUUUGGGUUACGAUAUUUUCCAUCUUCCACUCUUAAUUAUUGUAUCAUCUUAACCAAACAAUUAUUGGUUUCCUGUAACCAUUCACAUGAAAUAUCGAUUCAUUCUUAUUCCCCACAAAUGGAGAUAUAAAGUCCCUAUGGUUGCUAUCAACUCUCAAAUACUCGGGUUCAAGAAUCCAAAAUAGGAUAAUUCACAUCUCGAGCCGGCCGGUCCCAAGAGUAAAUCACCACAUUCGAGAUUCCUACCCAACAUACAUAUCAAAUUCCCUCCAAUUAUCAAGAUAAAGGUUUUACAACCUAUAACAUUCAUGAUUCACAACUUACAUUUCUAGAAGGGCACUUAAGUCUUUACUUAAUCACAUAGUAAGGACCAAACACCACUUGGCCCUAUCUUGCUCCUUUGUAGAGACCACGUGAAGUGGCUCUAAAUUUCAUCACUACAAGCAAUCAUUUAACUUUCAGAAUAGUCCCACAGUCCGGCAUCCUAAACAUUUAAGCCUAGGAUACACUACAAAAUCUGAAGCCUAAGCUCUGAUACCAAUUGUGACGCCCCCACUUCUCCCUAAGGCGAACCAAAGGGUAUCCGCGGGACGCCUGCCCAGCUCUCGCCAGGACUCACUACAAUCCAUCAUUCAAAAGCUCGAAAUACUUUAAGUAACUUCAAUACAUAAUUAAAGUACUCCAAAUAUCUCACACUUACAAUUAUGCAGCUUCCAAGCUUAAAUACAACCCAACGGAAAAGGGUACAAUAGCCAUCCGUUAUAAUAUAACUUAAAGUUUUCAAAAAAAAACAAUCUAGUAUUACUCACGAGCACCCUUGGUCUCGAACCCUGUAAAAGAAAACCACAACGUGGGAUGAGCUACACAGCCCCAGUGAGGUUCCAAGACACUCUAACAGUUCAAAUAAAUCAAGUAAGUUGGCAUAUCAUAUGCAUGGUUCAAUGUUACACAAUGGCGUGUUAUCAUGAGGUGAUAAUCAUUGUACGAGUAAUUUGAGACAUUUAUCAUGGUAUGAGACAUUUAUCAUGAGACAGGUAUCAUGAUAUAAGUACAUUGGUCAGGUAACAGGUAUGGAGCAUAUCACAGGCAUAGUUCAGGAUUUCAUGUUGACAUUUUAGCAUGAAACAAUUAUCAUGAUACAAGGUAAACAUAUACGGUAGGAUACGGUGUUUCAGUGGAACUCUGUCGGUCAUCUGCACCUUAUGACUUCCGAUCCCCACGGUACGGUCUGGCCAUCGCCUUAUCCCUCCAGUGGUAAUACUCGAGUAUACCGAAACGGUGGCCCAGGGUUCCAACCUACCCGACCGAGCCCAGUCCUGGCUCGAGUAGGUCAGUAACCAAGGGCAGGGCCCAAGUUCAGCUUAGAGCUUACAACAUGCACAGGUAACCAAGUAAUUCGACAAAAGGUAAAAUUCAUCAUUUGAGUAGGUCGAGUGAGGUAAAGUACACACUCGCCUAAUAAUGAUGGACAACUUCAUAUAACAUGUGAUUCAUGAUAAUCAAGUAAUCAGGUGGUCAAGUAACCAAGUAAGUUGGUGAUCACGUAAGCAGAUAACCAAGUAAGCAAGUAACCAAAUAGAUUAGAAAACGGUAAGUAAACACACGGUUAACGGUAAACGGUAAACGUUAACGGUAGUAAUUACGGUUAAUUGGUAGACAUAUGUCAUUUCAAUAGGCCGCCAUUGGCCGUUUUUCACUUUCACCACGUAAGAGUCGAGGAGAUUUACUCCAACCGACUUAUGCUUCCAUAGCAUAAUUAAUCAUUUAAACACAUCAUGUAAAUAUGCUCUCCAAACAUUUCAUAUCUAGUAUUUCAAGUAAUCACAUAAGUAUGCUCUUUAAGCAUUUCAUAUCGAAUAGUUCAAAUAUACCUACUUCAGGUUUUCAUGUCAAGUAAUUCAAGUAUACAUUAUUCCAAUUACGUAUUCCUAUGGAACACUCACCUAGUCAAAACAAGCGAGUAGUUCUUAAACAAGCGUCUUAGGUGUCCGCUCCGAGUUCCUCUGGGAGAUUCCCUCGAGUGCCUGAGCAAACAAUAAUCAACUACCACUCAAAAUCAUUCUAAUUAUCGAGGAAAAUUUGUACACUAGUACAAUCUAAGAAAUUAACGCAAAGACGAGUCUAAGAGUUCGUGUAACUCGAGGUUCAAAAGUGGGUUUUAAAAUACAAGACAAAUCUGAUUUCCAUCUUUGAAAUCAAAUGUAAAACGAUCAAAUGAUAUUGAAGGAAAAUGGAGGGUUUGAAACCCUUAGUUUCCUUUAAGUUAGAAAAUUCCAGAUUUAACAAGCAAUAUUUGAAAAAUCAUAUUUCACUCUCCACAAGUCCAAAAUUGGAAAACUUGGUACUGUUGGAAUCCUCUUUCAAAGUACUAAAAGUUCUUAGAAGACACUUUUCCACGAAUGUAAGUGAAAGGCACUCAAAUUUUGGCUCAAAGUUGGUAACUUGAAUUACCAAGACAGAUUUAAGUUGGUUUUUGGCCAAAUUUAGAAAUUCGCAAAAUUCACUUGUUUUGAACUAACCUUUGAAAUUUGGAAAUCAAUUAGUGUUGCAAUCCAAGAGUAUAACAAAACAAGCGGAACGAGAAACGGAGUUUCGAGCACCAAGAUAUAGUACCUCCAAGUUGCUGAAAAAGUUAAGACUGUUGGGCUAUUUUCCAGGUUUAAAAACUAGAUUCGAAGUAUCAUUUGGUCAUCAAGUUGGCAUUAGAAAUACAUCAAACUUGGUACACUAAAUCUUCCAUAUGUAAACAAUGUUUCUACCAAGUUUCAUACGAAAACUCACACGGUAAGGUAGUCAUUAAAACAACCAAAGUUUAUGAAGAGUUUCAAGGCUAAACUACCUUCUCACUUUUCUUUUGUUUACAAACUUUUUGUACCAUGAAAUCAGUUUCAAAUCUCUCCAUUAUUGAAACCAAGAGUUCAUAAACAUCCACUGAGAAAUUUAAAGACCAUUGACAUCCAAAUUCUAGAAAUAAAACUCUCCAAAUCAGAUUUGACCAUUUGGCUAAGAGAAAACGAAAAGUUUUCCAGAUUCGAUGAGCGAAUUUUGUGACAUCAUUUGCAUAUCAAAAUGGUCUUAGAAUAUUACCAAAUUUUGUACAAUUAAACCUCCAUAUGAGGAUUACUCUUCUAUCAAAUUUCAUUUGAAAAUUCACACGGAAAGGUAGUUAACUAAACCAUCAAAGUUCAAGAAAUUUUCCAAGGUAAAACUGUCUUCUAGCUCUUCUUUCCUUUUUAAACAUUUUGUCCAAAGCAACCGACCCAAAUCUGGUUUAUUUGUAAAACAAAGUCCAAGGAACAUCUAAUAUAAAGUUUGGUAGAUGUCGGACAUCAAAGUUUCCAAAACAACAAGUCCCAAAUCAUUGUUAGUUACAAAUCUGUCCAAGUGGAAAAUUCUAUCACUGUAGCAGUUUCAAACUUUGGCCACAACUCACUCAAUUCAACUUGGAAUUGGACGUGUUGAUGGCGUUGGAAAGCUCUCUUAUAAAGCUGAAUUUUCUCAGAAGAAACCAUUUUCAAAUUCCAUUCACAAAUAGCUCGUGUAGACACCAAAUUUUGAAUAAUUUUAUGUAGCAUCUAUUUCAUGAUUUUCAUUUUAGAUUGCUUGCAUUUUAGUUCGUUAUUGUGUGUUUUGCACUAUUAGUUGUUAUGAUAUUUUAGUUUUAUUCAUUUUCGCCCUUUUAGUUGACCUAUUUCAUUUGCUAUUCAUUCUUAUUUACUUUUAGUUUUAGUUUUUAGUUUUUAGCUUUUAAGUUUAAGAUUAGUAUAGAGUUUUUUAGAAAAGAAAAGGAAAACAUCAAAAAUAUGUUUUAGUCAUUUUUAUUCAAUGCUUUCUUGGAAAAAAAGGAGAAAAAAGGAAAAUCAUAAAAAAAGAAAAAAAGAAGAAAAUUGUUCACAAAAAUACGUUCAAAUUCAAUCUUUGGGCACUUUAGUUAUUUUUAUCAAGUUAUUUUGAGAAAAAGAAAAUGAUAAAAAAUGAAAAAUUAAAAAAGUUAAAAAUGGCCAUUUUUGUUUAGUUUUUUGUUUAAAAUUAUUUUUGUUUUGUUAUUAUUAUUAUUACCUGGUUUUUGUCAAUUUGUUUUUAUUUAUAUUUUAUCAUUUCUAUAUUUAUUAAGUUGGAAGUUGAAAAAAAAAAAAAAAAAAAAAAGAGUAGCGGCAUGCAAGCUGCGUCAAAACGCACUUGCAGGGAAGGAUUUGCACGGAAGGACCUGGGGAUUUAGGCUGCAAAUACUGGAGAAAGUACCAGAGAUUCUUAGGGUAAGAAACAUCAUAUAAAAGCUAGAGAAAAGCCAGCCGCAAAGAGGAGAGGUAGAAAAAAAUACGGGGGAAACAAAGAGAAGAAAAACAACGGGCAAAGGAAAAAUAAGAGAGCAAGAGAGAAUUUUGGGAGGGCCGUAAGAAAGGAAGUGAAAAUCUGAGGGAAAAGGGGAAGAGAAAGUGAAAGGAAGAGCUGUGGGGGGAAAGCCACUAGAUCCGAGAAAGAGGAGGUUCAAAGAUUCAAAACCCAAUCUCAGGUUUCUUCAUUGGAGUCAGCGGCUGAUCUCUUCAUCGAACCCAAGUUUCAAGUCCAAAGGUGAAACAGGUAGUCUUCAACCCUUGUUCUUGUCUAUUUUUCUGGGUUUUUACUUAUGUUUGGAUGUUGAAUUACUGGAGUAAAAUUUGAUGCUUGGAUGUAUUGGGAGACAGUUUCGUUGUUUUUUUUUACAUCCAUUUCCCUUUCAUCAAUCAAAGUUGUCUCUUUUUGCUGUUUGCUGUGUUGGGCAUAACCGGGGCUGAUGGCACUUGUUUUUAUUACCAUUUUUGUUUCUAAACUCUAUUUUCCACCCAAGAAAUAACUAUACCUGCCCUUUGUUGCAUUCCGUCUAACACUCUCUGUUUCAUGACUGGAUUUUGUUAUUUAAGGAAGCUUUAAUUUUCUGUUUUGGCUGGGAAAUUCGUGGUCAUGACCUGGGUUUAGGGACAGCAAUUUGUGAUUUACUUGUAGUUUAGUUGAUAUAUUAUGUACGCAUGUGCUGCAAGCAUCUUCCUUUCUGUUUCGAUUGUAUUUUCAUACCCCGUCAUAUAAGUUGGGUCCUUUAGGAUGGGCAGUUGCAUUGCCAUGAGUUUAAUAAUGCUGGUUUGUGGACUUUAACGAAUUUUGACUGAUUAGCUUACUAGUUGUGGUUAAUUUUGUAAAGUAUGGCUGAGUGAAACAAAUCGAAAAACGAUAGUAAGAAUAUUGCAGAAAUUUCUUGCUUAAGGUUUGCAUGUUUGAAUGAUCCAAUUUCUGUAAUUUGUCGCUCAAAACCAGAAUUCCAAUGUUGGUUGUGAUUCAAGUUGCGUUUUUUCUUAUGUUUUGUCGUAUCUUCCCUUUCUCCCUGUCAUAAACCCGUGAAGUGGGUCUUGGUCAUCUAAUUUGCUGCAUUGCAUGGCUAGCUUUGUUGGAUCCUUUGGGAGUGUUUGGGUCGAACAUAACCAGUCUUAAGCUACUUCGCAUGAAUACCUCUCAGCUGAGAUAAGAAAGAAAAGAAGCUGCGUGAAUGUUGCAGCAGUUUCAUUUGUGAAUGGGCAUGAAAAUUUCAUAAGAAUGUGCAUACUUUCCUUCAAUGUUUUGACAGAUGGUGAGGUUAAUUGUUUUGCUGCGUGAGUUCAAAGUUUUGGGUAGAAGAAUUGGCUUUACGUGAAGUUGCCCAGAUUUUUUUUUUUUAGACGCAAAUGGGCAGCAGAUUAUAUAGUUCUUCUGUUUCUUUCCUUUUGCGUUUUAUCAUUAAAGUGGUUGGAUUUUAAUGGAGCAAUUCAUGGAUUAUGUUUGGAGUUUUGCAUGAAUAUUUGUAUUCAAUAGAUUGCUAAGAAACUGCAGCCAUAAGGUUGUGAGUUGCCGAAAGUUUCAUAACUUGCUGAAACAUUGUUGCAGAAAUCUUCUACGUAGCAUGCAUGUAAAUGCUCCUGAAAAUUGCACUUUGACCCCCAAGUCCCUUUUUGCUCUACUAAGGCCUAAGUAAUUGGAACAUUUAAUCAAUUUGAUCCCUCUAAGUUUCUCUGUGUGCCACAAAAGCCCAAGCAUGUUUUAGUAUCUUGUAAUUAAGUCCUAAAAUCAUUGCAACCUCAAUCAUUGCUUGGCUCUUUCUUUAUUUUUGGAGUCUUUGAAGUGCUUAAACUGUUUAUUUGGACUUGAAUAUUUGAACAAUGCUUGCUUUUGGGUCCUUAGUAAAUGCUACUUGGGAUUUGAAUAGGUCAUUCCGAUUUCUUGGUCUUUAAUUAACUCUUGACUCCAUGAAGUUGAAAUUGAGGAAUGAUUUGCUGAUUUUGGUGGAUUUAGCUUGUUUAUUUACAUUCUAUCAUUAAAUUGGUGCAUUAAUCCUUUGUUUGAUGGUUUUAGCCCAAAUUAGGACUUUUUUUUUACUAGCUUCAAGAACGAGGGAGGUAUAACUUUCUUUUAUCCUUUUUGUCUCUCCCUAUGUGGACCAAUGUGCUAAUUGAAAUUUGCAUGUCUACUUACUUUCCUAGCCGCUCCUUAUUUUCUUUCAUUUAUUUCAUUUACUUCUGGAUUUUUAUUAAUGGGGUAUGUGUACACCUCUUGGCUUGUAAUAGAUAGGGCGUAGCAAGUAAUUUGGUCCAUUUUCCCUUUCCCCUUUGUUUUAGUUAGCAAAUGUAAUGGUUGCAUGCCUAUGUGUUAUAUGUUAAAUGCUUUAUUAGGAUCUUGCAUCUAGUCGAGCAUGUUAUGUGCUACGUGUUUAUAAGUGAUUUGCAUGUCUACUCGCUUUUUGUAGUAUAGAUGAAUGGAAUGGAUGAAUGUACGUCACCACACUAGUCCAACGCUAGUUGUGGCUUCUUUUAUCGUUUCCACUAGUCCAACGCUAGUCGGAAUUCAUAGGAUGGGCUAGUCCAAUGCUAGACCCAAUAGGUUCUUUUUUUCCUUUUUUUCAUUAAGUGCAUGAUCACCACAUAUCACGCAUUUUUCCUUAGUUUAUCAUUUGGUAUGUUCCUCAAACCCCUUCCCCUUCACUUUAGGACUUGCAUCUCAUGCUAGUUAGGGUUCAUUUGCGUGAAAAUCCCCUCCGAUAAGGGAAACGAGCGAGUGUGGCUUCAAAUAGCCUUAGCACGCUAGUUUUUCCUUCUAGUCAAAGGGAAAAUUAAAAUCAUAAAACUAGAGGUCAUCCCCGUACCCGACUUGAUGCAUUCCUCUAAGUUCAUACAUUUUCAUUUUCUCAUUAUUCUCCUCAUUAAAUUUUUUAAUCCAUAUGCCAUAUUCGCACACCUAUUCACUUCUUUAUUUUUCACCUCACACAUUGCACCUAUCUUUUUACUUAUAUAUAUUUACUAUUUUUGUUCACUUGCACACGAGCACUUAUAUUUUCAUUCAUUUGCACACAAACACUUUCAAAUUGCACACAUGCCCUUCUCUACACUUUGCACACUUACACUCUUAUUUGAGUCCUCAUUUGCAUCAUUCACGAUUUUCUAUGAGGUCUUUCUUAUUGGCCUUCACAAUUCAUGUGAAUGGGACCACAAGCCUCAUAAGAGACAUUUCUUAGAUUUAGGAUUGCAUUUCUCAUUCAUUAGUCUUUGUCCAAAUUGCAAAUACAUACUUUGGGUAGAAAAAAAAAUUAGGAAAAUAAGGGUUAAAUCACGCAACUAGCCUUGGCUAGGUCGAAAGGGGUGCCUUGGAUUUUUAUCCUUGCCUUCCCCUUCGUCAAAUGUGACUCCCGAACCUUUUUCUUUGUUUGCGUGGACUAGGAGUCGUUCAAAAGGGUUUCUUACUUUUUUCCUUAAAAAAUUCACUUUUUGGGUGACUUGGUACACCCUAACUCUAUACCAAGUGGCGACUCCAUUCUUCAUAUAAAAAACCCUUUUUGAACUAUUUUUCUUCGGUCAAAUCGUCGCAUUUUCAAAAGUCCCAUUUAGACCCAUUUUUAUUUUUAUCAAAAAAUUCACUUUUUCCAAACCAAUAAAAUCACAAAAACAAUCAUUUAUUUAUUUAUCAAAAAAUGGGGCGCGACACCCGAUGUACUGGUUAUACAUUAAGUGACUUAUUAAGCUUGAACGCUUCCGCAUUAUUGUAUUCAUGUUGCUCUCAUCGAAGUGUUUAGUUCGGUUUGAAUUUGGAUGGAAUUGCUUGAGUCCUGGCGUGAGCUGGGCAGGCGUCCGCGGAUACCCUUUGGUCCGCCUUAGGGAGAUGUGGGGCGUCACACUUUGGGAUUCAGGAUGAUGCAAUCUAUAGUCUUUGGAAAUUCUUAACUUUUAGAGGUAAGUGAUGCCUUUAGGGAAAAAAAAUGAUUUCGGCAGAUCGGUUAUUUUAUCUUGAUAGAUAUUUGAGAAAAAUGCAUGUGACGUGUAAAUCAACAUUCCGAGAAUGGACAGAGAUCUUUAGUUGCUUUAGAGAGAUUCGGUGGUGUUAUUUUAUUAUUUGAAUCACCCUAUAUGCAUGUUAGUCACGUCCGGGAUUGGCUACCAAAGAUUUACUAUUGUUUAAUUGACAACCAGUAGCUAGUCAGAAAACCGAACCGCAAGAGCAUAAUUGAUGAGUAGGGCUUCGAUGAUUACAAGUCUCUUUCUUAUUUAAGUUGAAAACUGAACACUAGGCAGCAGAAUUAUAACUUCCUUAGGGUGAGGGACUAAUUUACUUUUGGUAUUAUCGUUGGUGUACUGAUGUCCCUCUCACCUUUUAGUUAGGUAUGGUUGAUCCCCCGCACUUCUUGGUUGCUGAAUUUUAUUCUGAUAAUGGUUGAAAUGAACAUCGUCUUCGGCAGUGGCUUCCGGCUAGUUUGGUCUAGAUUGUGUAGCAAAUUAAUUUUUAUCCUGACCAAAAGGAUUAUCUACUCGGAGGUUUACCAUUUCUUUGGCUUGGGAAAAAUUGCAAAUGAGGCGCAAUAUUUCUAUGGUGGACCAUUACAUUUGGUGUACUAUUGUUUCCAUUAAAAUCUCUUUCUUUGUAUGGCAGUUGUUACGAAGGUAUCUAUCGUUGGAUUCGCAGCCGCCGCGUAGAGGUUUGCCGAUUCUUCGGCGGUGUCAUUGUUACUCUGAUGCAAUGGAAACCCCUGUUCAUUUGUUUCUCGAAGGCCUGGUUGCAAUUGAUGUCUGGAAUUGUUUUGGUCAGCGAUUUGGGUUUUUGGAGCGGUCAACUACAGGUAUGUCCUUCAUGUUACUUAGUUGUUUUCUCUUGCAUCCUUCUAUUUGGGUUGAUCAUAUUAGAGUGGCAGUACCUUUGCUGGUAUUGUAGUUGCUUUGGAAGGACUGCAAUUCAGCUCAGUUUCGUGGUGGUGUGGUGGACUCCCAGUGGGUUAUUUUUUCACUUUCAUCUGAUGCAUUGCAUUGUUUCUUCGUAUAUAAGAUGUUCCCCCAUAUGUGAGAGCUGCCAUUAAUUUGGAUGCUGGAUCUGUACCUAAUGUGUAGUCUAUAAAGGAAUACAUACUCCUUAUUUAUUUUCCAGUAGCUCCUUUGAUAGGCUGAUUGGGCUUUUCAAUAUUUCUUGUAUUUUUUAAUUAUGUUUUAAUAAAAUAAUGAGGUGGCAUCCCUCCUCGUGUACAGAAUUACCAAAAAAAAAAAAGGUUGCUCAGGACGAGAUUAGUUUAGCAUUCAGGCUGUAAUUGUUGCUUCUAGGCAUCAUAGUGGGAAUAACAAAUUAUCUAACGUGAUCCUUUGUUGAGACUUAGAUUCCGGAUUUUCUUUGGACUGGCUUCAUGGAAUCAUUUAUGCAUAUGGUUUGAGGUAAGUGACCCUAUUACUAACCAGUAUUUUCUUAAACGUAUAAAUUAUUUAUGCUAAAAGAAAUUUUGGGAAUUUUUAAAGUUGUGUAUUUUAUGAAAUAUAUUGUUUGCCUGUGCUUUUUUCAUGAAAAUUGAUCAAGUAUGUGAUUAUUUGUUGAUAUGAAAUUAUCUGAGAUUCGUGAAAUGUUUGGAUCAAUUAUGGCUUAAUUUUAAAUUUGUCAAUUCAAAGGUUGGUUGAUUUGAGAAUAUGUUGUGUGUGUGUUGUGAGUUUUCCAUUUCGGAACUAGUUAUGGAAACCGAGCUAUAACAGGGUUAAGUAUAUAGUCAUGACCCAAGUUGGAGGGGUAAAGUCUAAUCCGUAACCCAAGUUAAGGGGGUUGAGCUUGACUCAUGACCCAGUUUGCUUUGCGCGAUUAACUAGUGUUUAGUGUGUCUAACUGGGUGUUUAACAUAAGGUCUAAUUACUUAGAUCAUGGUUGUGUGAUAGUAUAAAUUUUUGCUGUCAUUGAAUUAUUGCUUGAUUUCACUCCUUGAUCUAACUGGUUAGCAGUUUGGUUACUUACUAAGUUGAGAAUUGAAUGAAGCUAUUGAAUUGGCUUCUGGAUCUCAAUCAAGUGGUCUGAGCUUCUGGUUACAUUAACUAAAGAAUUUAUUUUUGGAUUAAUUUGUGAUUCAGAUAUAACAUCUUUUCUUUGGUAAUCUCUUCUAACUUGGUUAUUAGGUUAUGGAUUUUCUGAAGGUGUAUUCCGUAUGGAUUUUUGGUUCUAAAUGGAUUUGCUAGUCAUCUCUCUGAAUUAUGGAUUCUUUGGUUAUAAAAUUCGGGGCAUGACAAUAACAUUAUUACAUGUUGAUGAUUAUUUAUUUUAAAAAUUGAAUAUAUUUAGGUACCAUAUUCCUGUGAUGGUUGGUGGAUCCCCAGCAGAAGCAACGACGUCCUCUUCCUUCCUUUUGCCACGGCCCGUUUUUGUUUUGCUCCUUCAAUGGUGCUGAAGAAGUGCGGAGCUUCCCCGGACCGAGCUGACCUGCGGAGCUUGGUGUGCUAACGAGAAAGGCGUGUUCCAACUCUGCAAGACAAACAACAAGAGGUCUCUGGGGUGACGAGCAGGGGAGCCCCAAGGUGGUCCCCGGGGUCACUCCGACGGUCAAGUUAGUCUUCCGGUGAACGGAGUUUACUAGGGUUAAAGCAGUUGGGAGUAUUUUGCCAACAGUGGGCUUACCUUGUGUAGUUGGUGUGCGUUACCAUUUAUACCCGUUCGAGAGUCCGACCUCCGUACGUUUCGGGACCUGCCCGGAAUAGUCUCAAUCCCGCGCUGAGAGGGAUUCUCCUCACCCUCUGCGGGAUUGUUCCUUGGAGCCCUUCGGAACCCUAGCGGUGGUAUGCCCCAGGACAGUUCCCAUGGGCCUGGGGUCCAAACCCAGCUCUGGCCUCUCUGGGCUGCCAUGUGUCUGGGCCCAGGACGGGGCCCCUGCACUAGCCCUCUAGAUUAGGUAGAGCUUCCAGACAAACCUAAUCUACACCCCUGCCACGUGAGAGACCGGCAUCGUCCUGCUCUGCCAGGGUUACCUCCGGCACAGUGCUGUCACUGAAAAGCUGCGCUCAUGUCCUUUCGGCUGUCGCGUCUCAUCGGUUUCCGUACCGCUCUUAAAUGCGUUCACAUGGGGACGGUUCAAAUUCAAGCAGCCGUUUCCCCCCAUUUUAUUCCCUAUGAAUAGGGGCUUCCAGAUUUCCUCCGACUCUAUUUGCCAUUUUCCUCUCUUCGUGUAUUUUCUUACUCCCGGAAUUUCCAGCGGCAAGACUUCCAGCCCACAGUGCCCAGAUUCCGGCGGUUCCUUCAUCUUUUCCCAUUCCGUUAAUCAGUAAGUCCUUUUCCUCCCUUCUUCUCUCUCUUUUACCCUUUGCCAUCUUCUGCUUUUUAUGUCGGAUCGGUUCGGCGUUACUUCCACCGCAUCUCGGGUUCCUACCCAUCGUAGAGCCCUUAGGAUCCUUAUUUCUUCGUCGUCUUCAUCCUCAUCCUCAUCUUCAUCUUCUUCUCCUCCACUUUCUUCCUCUUCUGCUUCUAAUCCCAACUUCCACAUCCCUGACCUGGUCGAGCCCAUAAUCAUCAUGAGUUCUCCAUCUGCCCAUUCUCCUUUUCCCCGAAUUCUGGAGGAGGUGGCCGAGCUCGACGCCCUCAUUGAGCAGCAGUCCACUUCCGUUCCCUCCCCCAAGUCCCCACAUGACUCCCUUGGCAGAGCCCAGGGAGGGGCUAGUGAGGACAGGGACUCCUCCGAGGGAACCCCUGUUUCUGAGCAGGGGGAUGAUCCUGGAUUCAACUACGGUCAUCCUGACCAGCAAGGGGUCACCCUCUCACCCGAGGAGGUUGUCGAGCUGGUCAGGUCUUUUUCCAUUCCCCCAGCCUUCGAACCGAGGGCUACCGGGCCCAACGACCGAGCCAGGCGACCUCCCCCCGGCUUUGUAGCCAUUUAUAGGGAGCAGCUGGUCGCAGGGCUCCGACUCCCCAUUCCUCCGACCCAAGCCGAGAUCCUAAGCUAUUGGGGGCUCAGAAUCACCCAGGUCCAUCCCAAUUCGAUCAGGAUCAUCAUCGGAUUCCUGAUUUACUGCCAAAUCUGCUCCAUCCCCUAUUCUCUUUCUCUCUUCCGGGUCUCCUACACCCUCAAGCUCUCCCUUCUUGGGUGGUACUACUUCUCCCGCCGAACUAUUAGCAAAGUUCGGGGUGGGAAGGGCACCCAGGAUCUGCUCUUCGGGGUCCUCUCUUCCAUAAAAAACUGGGAAGUGGAUUUCUUCUUUGUUAAAUCCACGCAUUUUCCCUACAAUGUGUGGAAGGUAGGGGAGGUCGACUCCGACCCCUAUCCGGGGGACUUGGACUCCGAAGCCCUCAGCCAGCUGGUGAGCUCCACGAUGAAGCUCUACGCUGCCAGGCUCUACACCGAGCAGAUAUCUGCGGCCGGGCUGUUGGGGACGUUGUCCGGGUCCCCUGGAGAAGUGGUGCCCUCCCCUACCGACUACGAUACCUGUAAUGCCGCCUCUGUGCCCCUAUUAGCCAAGUGCGGGGUACCUCUACUCUAUCUAAUUUCACGAGCUUACAGUGCCCAGCUCGGCUCGCCUCCAGGACCUUGUAUGGCCCCUCCCAAUUCGGAUCGAGCUUGUUGGAGUUAUGAGUUUGGCUGACUGAGUUCUUUCUUAAGACGAGGUCUCCCGGCUGGUACUGUGUAUUUCUCACCUUCGUGUUACGAUAGCGGGCGAGCUGACUUUUAUAUUUAGCCAUCCGUAUCGCCGCUUCCUCGUGUUUGGCUUCCAGCAUGUCCAAGUUACACCGCAGUUCCUCUUCAUUGGUUGCAGCAACAAAGUUCUGCGUCCGAGGUGAUGGGAGAUCGAUCUCUGCUGGUACCACCGUUUCUGCCCCAUAAGUCAAAGAGAAAGGGGUCUCAUGAGUGGCUGUCCUCGACGUAGUUCGGUAAGCCCAGAGGACACUAGGAAGUUCCUCUAGCCAGUUAGACUGGGCCAGUUCCAACCUAGUCUUCAGUCUUUGCAAAAUGGUUCGGUUAACGUUUUCUACUUGGCCGUUGGCCUGGGGAUGACCGAACGACGUGAAGUGUUGGCUAAUCCCGAGCUCGGCGCACCAGCUCCUGAAGGGUUUUCAGCGAACUGUCGCCCAUUAUCGGAUAUCAAAACAUGUAGACCCCCGAAGGGGCAAACUAUGUUCCUCCAGAAGAAUUUCUGAACUGCCUUUCCAGAGAUAGUGGCUAGAGGCUCCGCUUCCAUCCACUUUGUGAAGUAAUCGAUGGCCACCACGAGGUGUUCGUAUCUCCCGGGAACUCGGGGAAAAGGCCCCAGAAGACCUAUUUCCCACUGGGCAAAGGGCCAAGAACUGUGGAUGGGGACCAUCUCCCGAGUUGAUUGGUGACGCAGCGGGGCGUGCACCUGACACACUCGGCAUUUCUGAACUAGUGCCGCGACAUCCCGAAACACUGAGGGCCAAUAGUAGCCUAGGAGCAGGCACUUUUUGGCCAAAACCCGGGAUCAUUCAUGAACUUCUCGGAGGACGUAAUCGCUCUCCUCAGGAGUUACGCACUUUAGUCAGGGGGACAAAUACGACUUCCGAUAGAGGGUCCCCCCAGAGUAGGCGUACUUGGCAGCCCUGAACUGGAGCCGGCGGGCCUUGGUUUUGUCCUCGGGGAAGACACCCGAGCUGAGAAAGUCCACGAGGGGAGACAUCCAAGAGGCCGGACUGUCUACAGCCAAGACUUGGACUUGGUCGAUGUUUUUUUGCUUGACCACCUCCACCAGAACCUCCUUGUUCAGGUGAGCAAACGAGGAGGACGUCAGUUUCGACAGGGUGUCCGCGCGCUUGUUCUGCAACCUCGGCACCUGCUCGAUUUCAAAGACAUCGAACAGGGCUAUCGCCUCUCGUACCUUAGUCAAGUAUUUUUUUCAUGAUGUCCUCCUUGACCUCGUACUCUCCGCGAACUUGGUGGACUACGAGCUGGGAGUCACUCCGGGUUUUGGUCGCAGUUAUGCCCAUCUGGUGGGUUAUCCGCAAUCCUGUCAAUAGGGCCUCGUACUCCGCCUCAUUGUUGGAUGCCGGGAAGUCAAAUCUGAGUGCGUAGGUCAGCUCUUCCCCGGUGGAUGAGGUGAGCAGUAAGCCAGCUCCGCUCCCUUUUUUGCUCGAGGCCCCGUCCACAAAUAGUACCCACGGCUCUUCCGGGUGUACCUCCUUGGGCAAAGAGCUCGGCUCAGCCACGGACAAACUGGCUCCCUCAGCAAGAAAGUCUGCCAGGGCCUGAGCUUUGAUAGCGGUGGGAAGCUGAUAGCCAAUGUCGUGCUCGGCCAGUUUAACGGCCCACUUGGUCAUCCUGCCCAAGACCUCAGAUUUUGUGAGUAUCUGUCGUAAGGGCUGAUCGGUCACGACAACAAUGCUAUGGGUCUGGAAGUAAGGUCGGAGUUUCCGGGCGGCGUGCGCCAGGGCAAGGACCAAUUUUUCUGCCGGUGUGUACCGCGUUUCCGGCCCUUGUAAAGCAUGGCUGACGUAGUAUAUUGGCCUCUAAGCCCCCUUGUCCUCCCGCACCAAAACCGCGCUAACGGCCUCAUUGCAAGCAGACAAGUAUAGGAACAGGGUUUCUCCCUGCUCCGGGGCGGUCAGAGUGGGCAGCUCAGCCAGAUAUGUUUUCAGGUCAGCGAAAGCUUUCUGGCAUUUCUCAGUCCAUUGAAAGUCCUUAGGCGCUUUCAGGAUUCGGAAGAAGGGUAGCCCCCUCACCGCGGAACGCGAGAGGAACCUAUUCAGGGCGGCCAUCUUUCCCGUGAGCCGCUAGACCUCCUUUACGUUUCUCGGAGGGGCCAUGUCCAUGAUGGCCUGGACCUUAUCCGGGUUAGCCCGGAUCCCCUCUCAAGACACCAAAAAACCUAGAAACCUUCCCGACCUAACCCCGAAGGUGCAUUUCUUCGGAUUCAGCCGCAUCCGGCUCUUCCACAGGAUAUCCAAGGUCUCCCUCAGGUCGGGAACGAGUCGUCGGUCAGUUCAGCUCUUGACGAUCAUAUCGUCCACGUAGACCUCCAUACUCCUGCCAAUCUGAUUCUGGAAUAAUUUGUUGACCAAGCGUUGGUAGGUAGCUCCAGCAUUUUUUAGCCCAAACAGCAUUGUCCGGUAGUAGUAAGUCCCUUCCUCAGUGAUGAAGGAAGUCUUUUCCCGAUUUUCUUCAGCCAUUUCUAUCUGGUGAUAUCCCUUGAAGGCAUUCAGGAAACACAAAACGUCAAAAACCAUAGUAUAAUCUACUAACCUGUCGAUCCUCGGCAAGGGUAAGCAAUCUUUUGGGCAGGCCUUAUUGAGAUUUGUGAAAUCCACGCACAUCCUCCAAGACUGGUCCUCCUUUUUCACCAGGACCGGGUUGGCUAACCAGGUCGAGUAAUAUACCUCCAGGAGGAUUUUGGAUUCCAACAGCUUGCCGACAUCCUUCUUGAUCACCUCAUUUCUCUCCGGGGCGAAGCUCCUCUUCUUCUGCUUCACUGGCUUGAAGCGGGGAUUUACGUGGAGGUGGUGGACGGCCAGAUCAGUCGGAAUCUCAGGCAUGUCCCAGGAGGAGACCCGGGAGUACUCCCUUAGCAGGGCCUUCAGACCCUACUUUUCCUCGGGAGGUAACGACGCGUCGAUGCGGAGGACCCGGUCAGGCCUGUCCUCUCUCAAGGGAAACUCCUCGAUCUCGUCCUGGGUGCCCAAUUGCCGGGUCUCCUCCCCCGGGAUGUAGGGCUCCAAGUUGGUCGAUUGGGCGACCACCUUCUCCUGUCCCUGGAGCAUGGCCAAGUAGCAAGCUCUGGCUACUUCUGGAUCUCCAUGCACCUCGGCUAUUCCUCCCGAGAUGCGAAAUUUGACGCUGAGGUGGAGCGAAGAGGGAAUAGCUCGGAAGGCGUUCAAGGCGGGCCGACCCAAGAACACAUUGUAUGGGGAUUUUGACCACCACGAAGAUGAUGGGGAUGGUCCGGUAUUUGGGCACCUGCCCUAUUGUGGCCAUCAGGGUGAUCAUCCCCUCCGAGUUGAUGGGCGACCCGGUGAAACCCACCAGGGGUGUCCUAACCGGAGUCAACUGUCCAUCCUCCAAGCCGAGCUCCUUGAACACCCGGUAAAACAGGAUGUCCACCGCAUUUCCUUGGUCGACGUACACUUUUUUCACCUGAUAGUUAUUGGUUACGACGUCUAUCACGAUGGCCUCGUGGUUCCUGAACGCCAGGGGGAACCGCAUCCCUCGGUCCGAAGGUGAUCUCUUCGUCCAUGCGCAGGCGCUUCAUGGAAUCAUCUCCCUCUGGGGGAGGUCGCCUGUUCUUCCGAGUUGCAUAGCUGUCCCCCCCGUGGGACCUCCAGCGAUGGUGUUUAUCAUCCCUGCCAAGUUCUGAGUGUCCUGGUCGGGAGAGCAGCCCCGAGGAAUAUCACGCCGCUCAGGUCGGUCGCGGCGCUGGCUGUCGCUCCUGUCCCCGUGGUAGGUACGUCUUGGGUCCUGACCUGGUCGACCUUGCCACACAAAUCGUCCCAGGAAGCCAUGCUGGAUCAGAUCCUCGAUCUCUUUCCGCAGAACCCAACACCCCUCCGUAUCAUGCCCAACAUCGCGAUGGAAGGCACAGUACCGGUCCUGAUUUCUCUUGUUUCGAGGUGUCCCCAUCUUAGGUGGCCGUUCCCCUAGGCCCUCCGCCUCCAUAACGUCUAGGAUCUGGGCUCUUGGCCGAGUCAGGGGGUGUACCCCUUUUCCGAAAGCACCGGUUGAGCGGGGGCUUUCUCUUUUGAGAGUGGUCAAAAAUAUUUUUCUUGGCCGGGCCAUCCUUGCUUUCGAGGGGGUUUUCCCGUCCUCUCCGAUCUCCGAGCUCCCGAUCCGACUCCCUCUUCAGGCGCGCCGCCUCCUCUGCGUUAGCGGCUGCGUGCGCCCUGGUCAAGAGCUCUCCCAGGUCUCCGGGAGGUUUCUCAACCAACCUGUAGAAGAGCUCCUCCGCCCUGAGCUCGUUCAUGAAGGCGGCCAUCACCAUAUUUUCAUCCUUGUCUCAGAUCUGCAGGCUCUCCGUGUUGAAGCGGGCCAUGAAAUUUCUCAGUGACUCGUCCGGUUUCUGCCUGAUUGCCAUCAGGUGAACCGCGUUCUUCGAAUAAGUCUUCGAAGAGACGAACUGGGCGACGAACUGUCUGGCCAGCUCGGGGAAACUCCAGAUGGACCCCGGUGCCAGACCCUGGAACCAGAGCCGGGCCCUCCCCUUCAGAAACAUGGGAAAGGUCUUGCAACGGAUUUCAUCCACGGCUGUUUGCAGAUACAUGUGUGUCAGGAAGACCGAGAGGUGGUCUUUCGGAUCGGUCGAAGCGUCAUACAACUCAAUGUUCGGGAUCUUGAACCUCCGGAGUAGUGUGUAGUCCUCUAUCCCCCGGGUGAAGGGCGAGACUGUGUAAUUGUCCUCGUACAAUUGCGGUCGCAAGAUCUUCUUGAGUUCGUCUCGGUCAGGUUUCCACUGGGAAAGGUUACGCGGCCAGCUCUUGACAGAUCGGUCGAGGGAGCGUUCAGGCUCGUUCCGCGUAGGCUUCCGCGGGGAAGGAUUUCUCGGUCGGCUCCCAGCAGACCGGUCGCGGGAGUACCUCUCGCUAUCCCCGACCACCGAGGCUCGUAGGCGAGGGGGAGUCCGUGGCCGUUUCCUUCUGGGGUGUUGGUCCCGUGACUCAUCCUCUGAGGGAAUGAGAGGUGAUUCCUUCUCCUUCUUCUUUGCCUUGGUGGUUUGUGCACCCCCGGCUUCAUCCCCUUCUUCGCCUGUCGGAUUAUGUCUUCCAGCAUGGGGAGGUUUUCCGUCACGAACUGAAGGAUCUGCUGUCUCUGUUCUCCUGAAAGGGCUGAGCCCCCGGCUUCCCGAGCCGCCUCGCUUUCCCUUCGCCGAGACCCCUCGCCGGCUCCAGGAUCAGUGUUCUCUACGGUUCACUUGGAACGCGUUCUCGCCAUCAACACAACUAUACCUACCUCUCGAAUUCCCACAGACGGCGCCAACUGAAGAAGCGCGAAGCUUCCCCAGACCGAGCUGACCUGCGGAGCUCGGUGUUCUGACGAGAAGGGCGUGUUCCAACUCUGCAAGACAAACAACAAGAGGUCUCUGGGGUGACGAGCAGGGGAGCCCCGAGAUGGUCCCCGGGGUCACUCCGACGAUCAAGUUAGUCUUCCGGUGAACGGAGUUUACUAGGGUUAAAGUAGUUGGGAGUAUUUUGCCAACAGUGUGCAUACCUUAUGUAGUUGGUGUGCGUUACCAUUUAUACCCGCUCGAGAGUACGACCUCCGUACGUUUCGGGACCUGCCCGGGAUAGUCUCAAUCCCGUGCUGAGGGGGAUUCUCCCCGCCCUCUGCGGGAUUGUUCCCUGGAGCCCUUCGGAACCCUAGCGGUGGUGUGCCCCAGGACGGUUCCCAUGGGCCUGGGGUCCAAGCCCAAUUCUGGCCUCCCUGGACUGCCACGUGUCUAGGCCCAGGACGGGGCCCCUACAGGUGCCAUGUUUGGAUCAUGUACUAUAAUCUUUAUAAGGGUAGAAGUAUAAAUAACUUUCCUAUAGUUUCACUUAUUACUACAUAAUCCUAUAGUGUGAAAAUGGGAACAUAAAUCUUCUUAUGGUCUCAUGGAAAGGUAAAAAACGACGAAAAUUAUCUCCGGGAACCGUGCCUUUUCUAUAAACAAUCGAAUGAACAAAGUUUAAGUACCAAAUAACAAACUAUACAGCAAAAUGAAAAGCACAUCUAUCAAAAUGUCAACAUGUUCAAAUAUGCAAACAAGUUUUAAUUAUUAAAUAGUAGGGUGUUUAAUCAAACGAACAAAACAUAUGAACAAAGUGUGAAUGCCAAGAUAUAGUAUGAAAUGAACAAAGUCUAAGGAUCUACUAUGCAAGUGUAUAAUGGACAUUUAAGGUAAUGUUGUUAUAGAAGUAAUUUCAAUCAAAUUUCUACUUUACAAGAAACCAUGGAGGUUUAAGUAGAAGUGUCAAUUGGGCUUUCUGAGCCGGACUUUGCCAAGCUCAGGCUCACUCACAAAUUAUAUAGGUUUCAAAAUUCAAGUUUGAAUUAACAAACUCAAAUUCAACUCAUAAUAUUAUAUGAGUUUCAGGUUCAAAUUAGGUUCAGACCGAACUCAUAAUUAAAUACAUAAGCAUACAUAAUAUAUAUUUUGGAAUUAUGAAUUACUAUAAAUUUAUAUAUAAAUCAUUAAAAUUUCAUGGCAUAAUAUAUAUAUAUAGACACACACACACACACAUAUACAUAUACAGGCUUGAGCCUAACAUUGCCGAAACUCGAUUCCAUUUAGUUUAAACUUAAUAUUUAGAUCCAAACUCUACCCAACCCACAUAAAAUCUAGGCUCAACAAGCCUUUUUUUGGGGCCGAUGGACAGAGUUCAAGCUAACUUGCCGUAUUGAUAGCCCAGGGUUCAAGUGUUUAUUUUGAAUUAUGAUGGGUUCAUAUGGCUAUAAGUGCGACCAUAAGGGCGUAGAGUGUAGUUAACCUAUAAGAAACUACUAUUUGAUGCUGUACAAAAUUAGGAAUAGUAGUAUAAUUUAAUCUCGUUUAAACUAAUAGUAUAUACAUUUAGCAAGUAGAAAUAUCUAUGGUCUAAUCUAAAUUUGAAUUAAACUUUAAUUCUGCAUACAUGCCAUACAUCCAUGCGCCUUAACGUAUACAAUGUCAUAAUACAGAAAAUUAAUCCAUAGUAAUAUAUGUUAAGCCAAGUAGAUCUGAAAGUGUUUUCUCACUAUCCUUCAUGCUAGAGCAUGUCUUUUCCACUUUUAUAGAAGUCCCAGAUUGAAGUUACGAUAUUACUACAAGAAGUUACCUUCAAGUCAUGAAAGAGUAACGUGUUAAAAUUUUACCAAAAUGCUAUGGAAUUGGCUUGAUGUAUCAGGCAUAGUUCUCUCUCCAUUCCCAACAUCUUCUAGGCGUUGUUUUCAUUUUUGUCCUCGAGAAAACACAUUCUUGUUUCUUUUCUGUUCCCUUUUCAUUUUUUUGUGCUUUUCUUUUGUAUUGGUGCGUUAAAAGGAGAGAUUGGAAAGGAAGGAGCAAAAAGGGGGAAGACAAUAAAAAGAAGGAGAAUAAAACCUUCAUUAUAAGAAAACAAAAACAAAAACUCUCUCUUGCUUAUAACAAUGAUCAAGUGUAAAGACUUAGAGACUCCCAUAAGACAACACCAUGAAGAUUUGUACGUAUAGGGUGUGAUCAUAUCAGUGCUAAUGCACAGGAACCCAACAGAAUUCCGAAGAUUUGUACAUAUAUGUUGCACAGAAAGAGAGAGACAGGUGAUAUUAGUUAUAUCCAAUUAGAGAUAAAGGCCUCCUGCCUACUAUGAAGUAUGCUGAAGUGGUUGCAUUUGCCGAUCUAAUAGAAGAAAGAGAGGCUGAUAAUGCACUCUUGCGGAUAGUAGCAUGAAAAUCAUUCAUGCUAACUUCUUUAUCAUCUUCUUUAAUCGUAUCCAACGUCUUUGUGGCUCGUUGCCGCAUGACUUGCACAAAUUGUGGAGGUGCAACAUCUGUUACAAUUUUAGCAAUUCUUUUGCCAUAUUUUCUUGCUUUUCUCUUGGAAGUAAUGCUUUGAAGUAGAAAGGACUAUAAGAUUAUCUGGACUUAGAGUGGAAAUAAGGUAGUUGGAGGAUAACCAAUGUAAUGUGUUAAGAUGGGAAUAUAGAGGGGUGUUUGGGGAAGCAGGGAAAGAAGGGGGGUGUUGUAGGCGUGUUGUAAUGGUUGGUUCUCUUGUGGCUUAAAUUUCGUUCCAAUCUCUAAGCAAAUUGAAAUAGCUAAUGACUACUGGAUUGCAAGAAAAGUGUUGAUAAAUUAUUUAUUGAUGAAUAUUGCAUGAAAAAUGCGUGUAGCUUCAAUUAGCGGUAACAAUUAAUUGUCCAGGACUUGAAUUGGGCGGUAACUUGUAAUAUUGGGCACCAAUUGUUGAUCAGUCACCUUUCUGUUUAAUAGUAAUUUGUUUGAGAUUAACUCUCAUUACGGUCACAGUGACACUUUCUUUUCCGACUAGCAUUCCCCUUUCUAGACCCUUGUAUAACAAUUUAAUUGACUUACCAAAAACAAGUUCUGAUGGACUUGCUGCAAUUGCUAAAGACCAACUCCCCUUCAAACAUGGAUAUUGAAUUAACUUACACAAUUAAUUCAUCUAAGCAUGAAUAAUUUAAGAAAAAUAAAAUAAGGUUCGUGGAGGAUGUUUUGUCCAAAAUAGGCGCCUCUCAUCCUGAACAGCAUAUUAAGGUCUACGACAAUUUCCACGCUCUUUCGGCAUUAGCUCGUGGGGGGGUCAGAUUAGAUAGGUUAGGGGUGCCUUCAUUUCGGAGAAGUAGGCGUUUGUAAGAAGAACUUGUGAUUGUUUUGCUUGCUUGAUGAAUAAAACCCUAUUUAUUUAAAAAAAAAGAAUAUUUGUUUUAGAAAAUAUAUGUAUUUAGGUAUUCAAGUACCAUAUUAAUCUUAGAAAACUUUUAUACAUAUGUUUGUUUUAAUAUAAUCUUUUGAGUGAUAAAUCAGAGGCCUGCAGCUCAGAAUAUCCUUAUCAAAUAUAUUUUUGAGUUGUUUCUUAUUUCAUGGGUUGUAAAAUAAAAAACAAUUUUAUGUUAUGAAACAACUAAAAGUGUGAAUGUCCAUUUGUAUUCCCAAGAGUAUUAAUUCUUGAUUCAUUGCUACAUUAUGUAAAGAAGUUACAAUCCAUAAAUCUAUUCAUAUAGUGGAUAAACCAUUUCAUAAGAUUCUUCAUAUUCUUGUAGUAAUGAAUGUUUAAUAGGAUUGAUGUACCUUUAAUCUUGUAGUACCUAUAUAUAGAGGUACAUUGACACCUUUUGGGAUGACUUUUGGUAUUGGUUGGAAUAAUAAGAAAAUCAUUCUCCAUUUCUCUACUCAUUUCCCUAAUAUUUCAAUUCCUGUUAUAGUAUUUCAUUUUAUUAAUUUUAUAACACGUUAUCAGCAUGAACCUCUACUUUUGAGCAAAAGGUGAAAACGGAGCCUCUACUUUGAACAAAAGUGAAGCACGAGAUUUUGUCGAAAUUCUGCCCGUAUUUUCUUCGAGUAACUUCUUGGAUAAAUUUCUAACUCAAAAACUUAUUUUAAUUUCUUAUGGCUAAUCUUACAAAAUAAGAGUUCGUACCUCUUGAUAUUUCUGAAAAAAAUUAUUUAUCAUGGGUAUUGGAUGAUGCAAUUCAUCUUGAGGCAAUGGAUUUUGGUAAUACUAUUGCUGAAAAAAAUGAUCUUCAAACCAAGACCGUGUCAAAGUUAUGAUUUUUCUUCAUCAUCAUUUAGAUGAAUGAUUAAAAAUAGAGUAUCUUACUAUCAAAGAUCCUCUUGUCCUUUGGCAAGAUUUGAAAGAAAGAUUCGACCACCUGAAGUUGGUCGUUCUUCCAAAAGCUCGAUAUAAUUGGCUUCACUUACGGCUACAGGAUUUCAAAUUUGUCAACAAAUAUAAUUCAGCCAUGUUUAGAAUCACUUCUCAAUUAUCAUUAUGUCGUGAAAAAGUCACCGAUGAAGUUAUGUUAGAAAAAAUAUUUUCUACUUUUCAUGUCUUAAACAUGCUCCUGCAACAGCAAUAUCGAGAGAAGGGAUUUAAAAAAUAUUAUGAACUUAUCGCAUGUCUUCUCUUGGCUGAACAAAUAAUGAAUUAUUACUGAAAAACCAUGAAUCCCAACCAACUGGUGCAAGUCCAUUCCCUGAAACGAAUGCGAUUCAAUUUCAAAAUUUUGGUUGAGGUCGUGGCGUGGCCAUAGAGGUGGCCGUGGAGAAGGUCGUGGACAUGAUCGUAGUAGAUUUGUGCCCCUGUGAAAAUUAUAACCGUGGCAAACAACCAAAUAUUUUUCAAAAGAGAGAAAAUAACUACGAUCAGAAAAAUGGAGAAAAGAAUGUUUAUGAAGAAAAAUGCUAUCGGUGUAGUAUCGAAGGUCAUUGGUCUCAUACUUAUCGUACGCCUAAACAUCUUGUUAACCUCUAUCAAACAUCAUUGAAAAAGAAAGACAAAGGUGUUGAGACAAAUUUCAUUGAUCAAAAGAAUCAUUAUGAUGAUGGUGAUGAUGCUGAUAUUACACAUCUCGAUGUAGCUGAAUUUUUUGAGUAUCCUAAAGAUGUCAACAAAUAUCUCAUGAUUGUUUAGAUAUUUUAUGAUGCUUUAUAUCUUUCUUGUAAUUUUCUUUCUAUUCAAUAUUUAUUUUCGUAUCUUUAUUAAUAUUUAUUUUUGUUUGAAAUUUUCUUCCUGAAGAAGAAAUGGAUGCUAAAUAUUUGGGAUUAAAUAAUGAUGAUGAUGACAUUUGUUUCAUUUAUGUGCUACUACGCACACCAUAUUGAAAAAUAAAAAAUAUUUUUCUUGUUUAAAAAUGGGAAAAACAAAUGUUAAUACCAUCAGUGGUAGUGCAAAACUGAUUGAAGGCUCCGGAAGAGCCACUCUAUUUCUCCCUGAAGGGACUAAAAUUGUCGUAAAUAAUGCACUACUCUCUUCCCAACUCUCGGAGAAACUUAUUAAGUUUUAAAAAUAUUCGCGAAAAUGGAUAUCAUAUUGAGACAAUGACUGAGACAAAUGGUAAAUUUUUAUUAAUCACAAGUAUCAUUUCUGGGCAAAAUGCGUAAUAGAAAAAUUACCUUCUUUUUCUUCUGGCUUAAAUUAUGCACAAAUUAGUGCAAUUGAAAUUCAUCAUCUAGUAGACCAGAAGUCUACUCAUCCUAAUGAUUUUAUGGUUUGGCAUGAUCGUCUCGGACAUCCCGGAUAUGAAACUAAUAAUUGAGAAUUCACAUGGCCACUCAUUGAAAAAUCAAAAAGUAUUAAAAGCCAAUGAAUUCUCUUGUGUUGCUCAUUCUCAAGGAAAAUUAAUUAUUAGACUAUCACAAGUUAAAGUUGGAACUGAAUCCCCUACAUUUCUAGAAUGAAUUCAUGGUGAUAUAUGUGGGCCUGUAGAUCCACCAUGUAGACUAUUUCGAUAUUUUAUGAUGCUAAUUGAUGAAUCAACUAGAUGGUCACAUGUAUGUUUAUUAUCUAUUCGCAACUUGGCGUUUGUGAGAUUGCUUGCUCAAAUAAUUAAAUUACGAGCACAAAUUUCAGAUUAUCCAAUAAAGAAAAUUCGUCUAGAUAAUGCUAGUGAAUAUUCAUCACAUGCUUUUGAUGAUUAUUGUAUGUCCAUUGGAAUAACUGUUGAAUAUCUUGUAGCUUAUGUUCACACACAAAAUGGUCUAACCGAAUCAUUUAUUAAACGGCUACAAUUAAAGGCUGGACCAUUGUUGAUGAGGUUGAAACUUCCUUCAUUUGCUUGGGGACAUGCUAUAUUACAUGCACCAACACUUGUGAGAAUCAGACUGACAAGUUAUCAUACUUAUUCUCUCCUACAAUUAACUUUUGGUUAUGAAUCCAAUAUUUCUCAUUUACGAAUAUUUGGUUGUGCGGUUUAUGUUCCAAUUGCACCGCCUCAACGUCGUAAAUUGGGCUCCCAAAGAAAAUUGGGGAUAUAUGUCAGUUAUGAAUCAUCUUCAAUUAUUAAGUAUAUGGAACUAUUGACAGGUGAUUUAUUUACUGCGAGAUUUGCAGAUUAUCAUUUUGAUGAAUCACAUUUUUCGAUAUGAGGGGGAGAUAAAAAUCAAUCGAAAAAGGAAAUUACUUGGAAAAAUAUCAUUGGAUUUCCUUGAUUCUCGUACUAAAAAAUGUGAACUAGAAGUUCAAAGGAGUAUACAUUUGCAAAAAAUUGCAAAUCAAUUACCGGAUGCAUUUAAUGACUCCAGAAGAGUUACUAAAUCACAUAUUACAAUUAAAAUGUUCCAAUUAAAAUGGAUGACCCUGAAGGACAAAUUACAAGUGCUAAUGAGUCUAAAGCACGCCUGAAGUGUGGAAGACCUCUUGGUUCCAAAGAUAAAAAUUCUCAAAAGAAAAGAGGAGUAGAUGAAUUAAUAAUUAGUGACAAAAUUCAACCUCCUGAAGAGGUCGUUUCUAAAAAGCCAACUCUUGAAGAGAAUGAAACUAUAGAAAAUUCAAUAAAUUUUGUCACAUCAAGAAAAAGUUGGAACCGAAAAAGAAUAAUUAUUGAUAGUAUUUUUGCAUAUAAUAUAGCACUUGAUAUUAUGGCAAAGGAUGAGGAUCAUGAGCCUAGAUCGGUUGAUCAAUGUCGACGUAGAAAUGAUUGGCCAAAGUUGAAAGAUACGAUCCAAUCUGAAUUGGACUCACUGCUAAAAGAAAAGUUUUUGGACCUGUAGUCCAAACACCUGAAGGUGUAAAUCCAGUAGGAUAUAAAUGGGUAUUUGUGAGAAAAAGAAAUGAGAAAAAUGAAAUUGUGACGUAUAAAGCUGUAUGUUUAAUACCCAUCCUAGAAACUUUUCAUGUCUCUGAUUAUAAUGAAACGUAUUCACCUGUAGUGGAUGCUAUCACAUUUAAAUAUCUUGUGAGUUUUACAGUACAUGAAAAACUAGACAUGUGCCUAAUGGACGUCGUUACUGCAUAUUUAUAUGAAAAUCUUGAAAAUGAUAUUUAUAUGAGAAUCCCCGAAGGAUUCAACAUGCCUGAAGCAUGCAAAUUAAAUUCUAAAGAUAUUUUUUCUAUUAAAUUACAAAGGUCUUUGUAUGGGUUCAAACAAUCUGAACGCAUGUGGUAUAACUGCUUCAGUGAAUGCCUAACUAAAGAAGGUUAUACCAAUGAUCCAAUAUGUUCAUGUGUUUUUAUCAAGAAAAAUGGGCCAAAUUUUGUGAUAAUUGCUGUAUAUGUUGAUGAUCUGAAGAGAUUCAAAAUAGUAUUGAAUAUAUGAAGAAAGAAUUUGAGAUCAAAGAUUUUAGAAAGACAAAAUUCUGCCUUGGUUUACAAAUUGAGCAUUUGAAAGGUGAAAUUUUGGUCCACCAAACUACUUAUACUCGGAAGAUAUCAAAACGAUUUUAUAUGGAUAAAACACAUAUAUUAAAUACACCAAUGGUCGUCAGAUCACUAGAUCUUAAUAAGGAUCUUUUUAGACCACGAGAGGAAAAUGAAGAGACACUUGGUUCUGAAAUACCAUAUCUCAAUACAAUUGAUACACUAAUGUAUCUUGCUAAUUGUACAAGACCUGAUAUAUCAUUUGUAGUAAAUUUAUUAGCAAGGUUUAGUUCCUCGCCCACAAGACAACAUUGAAAUGAUAUUAAACAUAUUUUUUGCUAUUUCCAAGAAACAAUUGAUCUUAGUUUAUUUUAUUCAAAUAAAUCCAACCUGAAUUGGUUGGUUAUGCUGAUGCUGAGUAUUUAUCUUACCCGUAUAAAGCAAAAUCUCAGAUUGGUUAUUUAUUUACAUAUGAAGGUACAGCCAUUUCUUGGUGAUCUACAAAGCAAUCAUUAGAUGCCACUCCAUCGAAUCUUGUUGAAAUAAUAGCAAUUCAUGAGGCUAGUCAAGAAUGUGUUUGGUUAAGAUCAAUGACCCACUACAUCCGGAAAAGUUGUGGGUUAUCCUCCGAAAAAAAAAAUCGUCCAACUAUAUUAUAUGAAAAUAAUGCAGUUUGUAUAGCUCAAUUGAAAGGAGGAUAUAUUAAAGGAGAUAGGAUGAAACACAUUUCACCAAAAAAAUUUUUACUCAUGAUUUGCAAAAGAAUGGUGAAAUUGAUGUGCAACAAAUUCGAUCAGAUAAUAAUUUGGCAAAUUUAUUUAUCAAGGCAUUGCCGAUUGCAAUAUUUGAGAAAUUAGUGAAGAAUAUUGGAAUGUGACGAUUAAAAGAUCUCAAAUGAUAUUUGCAUUAGGAGGAAAAAAUAAUAUAUGGGAAUAGUGUACUCUUUUUCCUUCAUUAGGGUUUUGUCCCAGUGGAUUUUCCCUAAUAGGGUUUUAACGAGGCAUAUUUUUUGUUUAAUGGACAUCCAAGGGGGAGUGUUAUGAAACAACUAAAAGUGUGAAUAUCCAUUUGUAUUCCCAAGAGGAUUAAUUCUUGAUUCAUUGCUACAUUAUGUAAAGAAAUUACAAUCCAUAAAUCUAUUCAAGUAGUGGAUGAACCGUUUCAUAAAGUUCUUCUUAUUCUUGUAGUAAUGACUGUUUAAUAGGAUUGAUGUAUCUUUAAUCUUGUAGUACCUAUAUAUAGAGGUACAUUGCCACCUUUUGGCAUGACUUUUGGUAUUAGUUGGAAUAAUAAGAAAAUCAUUCUCCAUUUCUCUACUCAUUUCCCUAAUAUUUCAAUUCCUAUUAUAGUGUUUCAUUUUAUUAGUUUUAUAACAGAUAUGAUAUUAAUACUCUUGUUGCUCGAUUUUUUGCUAAUAUUUUGGCCAUGGCUCUUGUCGUUUUGCUCCCUUUCUGCUUUUUGUCUUCUCUCUCCUUCUUGCCUGUGUUUGUGUGUGUUUGUAGAUAUGGAUUGUGUAACACAGGUGGCUGUGCGCAGAUGGAGAAAAAAAAUCUAAGAAAAAGAGUUGAGAAAAUUUUGUGCAGAUGAUGAACAUUUUGGGGUGGUUUGCUGCGUGGGUACUAAGUGUGGAAGUGAUGUGAGGAAGAGAAAUGUCAGAGAGAGCUUGAAGGGAAAAUUUUUCUGAUUACUAGAGGCUCAGACCCUCAUUUCUUGGAUAGAAAUUGGGCAAUUCACUCGAUAAAGAUAGCAAGAAAACGUUUAUCUCUUCUUUUUCAUUCCUAUCUUUUUCCUUUAUCUUUUUCUUCCUUUUAUUUUUUUGGGCCUACAAAAAAUAUAUGAUAUAACUUAAAUCAAUAAUGCUUAAAAAACACACACAGACACAGGGGCCAUUUCAUUUUCUGUGAAAAAAAAAAUUCAAAUAAAAGUCGGUGUCUACACCUUGUAGCUCUUUGGAAGUAGUUACACAAGAAGAACGGAAUGACACCAAUCACACUUCAAAUGGAAUGAUCUGUUACCAGUGAAAACAUGGGAAAGACUUGUUCCCUUAUGCCACUAGAUGCCGUCAUCAUCAAGAGGAAUAUAGAAAAUUAUAUAUUUUCCUAACAGGUAUUUGAUACAUUGGUUUGGUCUUUUCAUUGAGUUUCCAAAGAUAUUUAUGUUGGAGGUGCCAAGUUUGAAUCAUCUACUAAAACCAUGAUUUUAUAAGGGUAAGACUCAUAAAUAACUUUCACAUGGUUUCACUUAUUACCAAAUAAUCCUCCAUAGAGUGAAAAUGGCAACAUAAACCUUCUUAUGGUCUCAUGGAAAGUGGAAAUCGACAAAAAAUUGUCUCCAGUGACCGUGACUUUUCUGUAAACAAUCGAAUGAACAAAAUUUAAGCAAGUACCUAACAACAAACUAUACAACAAAUGAAAGUAGAAGUAUCAAGUUUACUCGGUUUAACAUAUGGAAGUCCCAGAUUGAAAUUAUGAUAUUAAUACAAGAAGUUACCUUCAUGUCAUGAAAGAGUAUUGUGUUAAAGUUUGCCAAAAUGCUGCAGAAUUGGCUUGAUGGUAUCAGGCAUAGUUUUCUGUCCAAUGCCAACAUCUUCUAGGCAUUGUUUUCAUUUUUGUCCUUGAGAAAACGUGAUUUGUUUCUUUUCUGUUUUAUUUUCUUUUUUUAUUGAUAUUUAAAAAAAAGGCUUGGAAAGAAAGAAGCAAAAAGAGGAAAGAGAACAAAAAUAACAAGAAUAAAACCUUCAUUAUAAGAAGAGUGUUGGAUAUUAGGCCUGGAAUUGAGAGGAAUAUUUGGAGACAAGGGUGGCUUCAAUUGUUUCUUUCUUUUAUUUCUUUCACUCUCUUAUAUUGGUUUGGAGUUUACAAGGUCAAUUUAUACUUGUAAGUGAUCAUUCUAGAUACAUAGAGAAAUGUUCCAACCAUCCCACCAACUCUCUUAAUUUCCAUCAUUCUAGAGAAUAUUGCAACUAUCUAGAAAGCUUUCCAACUACCUCAUUAAUCAAGCUAAUUGAUUUAGCACAUUAUUCAACAUAUUCCCCCCUUAAUGUGUUGUCCUUGAACUCCAAGCAUCUCUUGAAAAUAGUUGAACUUGUCUUUUGGAAGUGCCUUGGUAAAGAUGUCUGCAACUUGGUCUUCACUCUUGCAAAAUUUUAGUUCAACUUCACCAUCUUCAAUUGCAUCUCGAAUAAAAUGGUGCUUGCUUGCAAUAUGGCGAGUUCUGCUAUGAUAAACUGGAUUUUUGGCAAUGUCAAUUGCUGAUUUGUUGUCACAGAACAUCACCAUAGCUUCCUUUUGCUUCUCACCAAUAUCUUCAAGAAUUCUCCUAAGCCAAAUGGUUUGUGAUGUUGCCAAACUUGCGGAUACAUAUUCAGCUUCAGCUGAUGAUUGUGCCACGCUUUGUUGCUUCUUUGAUGCCCAAGAAAAUACUCCAGAACCAAGCGAAAAACAAUAGCCUGAGGUGCUCUUCAUAUCAUCAAGGCAUCCAUCCCAAUCACUAUCAUAAUAACCAUGCAGAUUUAAAGUAGUGCUUUUGCUGAAUUUGAUGCCAUAAUCGAGUGUCCCUUUGAUGUAUCUUAACACUCUCUUGGCUGCUCCAAGAUGUAAUUGACUGGGAUUGUGCAUAAACCUUGAUAAUAAACUUGAAGCAAACAUGAUAUCUGGCCUUGUAGCUGUGAGAUAAAGCAAAUUUCCCACCAAACUUCUAUACAAAAUGUAAUCAACUUUCUUUUCACCAUCUUUCUUGACAAGCUUUUCACUUACAACAAGUGGUGUAGCCAUAGGUUUACAAUCAGCCAUGCCAAAUUUCACAAGAAUAUUUUCAGCAUAUUUCUUUUGACAAAUAAAAGCUCCAUCACCAUGUUGAUAAAUCUCCAUACCAAGAAAAUGAUGUAGCAGUCCCAUAUCAUUCAUUUCAUAUCUUUUCAUCAUGUCUUUCUUAAAAUCAGCAAUCAUCUUCUCAUUGUUACUAGUGUAAAACAAAUCAUCAACGUAUAAAGCAACAAUGAGAAUGUUUGAGUUACCUUGAGUUUUCACAUAUAAGGUUGGCUCACUUUUACUCUUCUUGAAUUCUUGCUCCAUGAAGUAAGAAUCAAUUUGACUAUACCAAGCCCUUGGAGCUUGUUUUAAUCCAUAUAAUGAUUUCUUCAACUUGUACACUUUGUCUUCUUGUCCUUCUUUGACAAAACCUUGAGGUUGUUGAACAUUCACCUCUUCCUUCAAUUCUCCAUUCAAAAAGGCAGAUUUAACAUCAAGUUGGUAGAGAUUCCAACCUUUUUGGGCUGCUAUGGCAAUGAGAGCUCUAAUUGUAUCAAAUCUUGCAACCGGUGCAAAUGUUUCAUUGUAGUCAAUUCCGGGCUGUUGUGAAUAACCCUUAGCAACAAGUCUUGCCUUCUUCUUUUGGAUUGAACCAUCUGGAUUCAUCUUAACUUUGUAAAUCCAUUUGACACCAAUGACCUCCUUGUCUCGAGGCUUUUCAACUAGCUUCCAAGUCUCAUUUUUCUCAAUUGCAUAAAUUUCAUCUUCCAUUGCCUUUCUCCAAUCCUUUUCUGCAUAUGCUUCUUCAAAAUUUUCUGGUUGAAGAAUGCAAAAGUUGCAUCUUGCAUAAACAUCACUUAAACUCCUCAUUUUCAUUGCAAUUGUGUUUGGAGAACUCCAACUCGAACUUGAAUUUGGAGAUGAUGGUGGACUGCUUGUUGGUGUUGAAUCAUCACCAUUUUCUUCUUCAUUUGUUGAAUUUUCUUCUUCUUUAUGAUGGCAAACACCCUGCUUCACAAUCUUUUUCUCAUCCCAAUUCCAAGCAGCAUUUUCAUCAAAUACAACAUCUAGACCAAUAAUGAUUUUGUUAGUCUUCAAAUUAAACAAUCUAUAACCUUUAGACUUGGAGCUAUAACCAACAAAAAUACAUUUCACUUACUUCGUCAAGCUUGUACCUCUUUUCUUUUGGAAUUUGAGCAUAGCAAAUGCUCCCAAAAACCUUCAAGUGUUUCACUGAUGGUUUCCUUCCACUCCAUGCUUCAAUUGGAGUUUGAUUCCACACGGCCUUUGUAGGACUUCUAUUGAGCAAAUACGCAGCUGUAUAAACGGCUUCAGCCCAAAAUUCCUUUGGCAACCCUUUGUCAUGUAACAUGGAUUUUGCCAUCUCCAUCACAAUUUGGUUCUUUCUUUCUGAGACUCCAUUUUGUUGUGGUGUAUAGUGUGAGAACCCGUAAUUUCCCUAAUAAUUUUCCUAGGGUUUUUCCCUUUAAUGGCAUGUUUUCUGCAUUUUCCGGCUUAGGAAAAUUUUUUCCUGUUAAAUUUUAUGAGUAAUUAUAGUUUUUAGAUGAUUUUCUAGCAUUGGAGAGUUUUUGAAAAAUUAAGGAUAUAUAAUGGACGUGGGACCCACUAGUGCAAAAAGUUCGAAAAAAUUCGUCCAAUUAGGUUAAGUUUCGGAUACUGUGUGAAAUUUAUUGGGUGUUAAGAGAUAAGUAGAGGUUGAGAUGUGAUUGAUGUGAGAGGAAACAAAAGGAUUGGCAAGCAUUUAUGGAAGUGACAAGUGUCACCUUGUGAGACGUGGAGACUUGGUGACAACUAUUCACCUUUUUGACCUUUUUGACUAAUUGGUUAAAUAUCUCAAAAAUUAACCAAAAUUCACUCUUUUCUUUCACCAUUGUGGCCGGCCAACCUUAAGGGAGAAAGGAAGAAAACCUCUUCAACUUCUUGAUUUCUUCUUGCUCCAAUCCAAUAACUCAACCAUCUAAACUUGUUUCUACUCCAUAAAAUCUCUCCAUUUGGUGAUAGUGGUUAGUUUGGUGAAGUUUUUGGAGAAGCUAAGGUGUCCAACAACUCUACCUCUCUUGUUUUCUAGGUGAGUGGUUAUUGAACUUCCUCCUACACUUAAUGAAGCUUAAGUUGUGCUUAGUGGUAGCUAAAGUGCUGAAAUUGGUGGUUUAUUUCUUGUUUUUGGAUGAUUUGAUGAAGUUUUCAAUUUAAUGGUUAUUUUUCUGGUUUAAUGUGAUCAUGAUGUUGUGGCCUUGUAUGAUGAUUGGCAAUGGCCUAUAAUGACUCUAGUAGGUGUGAAUGAUUGGUAAUUGCAACCAAUUUUGGAUUUGGAAGGAAAUGUGAAAAGUUAGGGUUUCAUAACCCCUUUUCUGUCUGAUUUUGUAUCAUAUGGUUAGAGGCCGAAUUGGCCUUUACUUAAAACAUGAAAGUUGUAGGUAUUGAUGUGUUUGAGGUGCCUGUAAAAUUUCAGGUCAUUUGGAGUAGUGUACAGUGAGAAAUGUCGAAAUUACUAUUGCUGUUCUGGGUUCAUCAGGAUGGCAGAACUGCGCCUGUAAUUGGCUGUUUUGACUGGAAUUGCUUUGGAUUUGGUUGUUGAGGUCUUCUGAUGAAAUGUAUCUUGAUGUCUUAGCUACCAUAUGCCUUUGGAAUUUCCGAAUUUGGACCUGUACAGACUGAGUUGUACUAAUUACAGCAUAGUGUAAUUUGUAAACCUGUUUUGGUGGUUCUGGUUUAGUAUCUUGCAUAUUUGACCUGUUUGUACUAGGAAUUGGACUGAGUGACCUUCUACAUUGUUGUAUCCCUGGUUCUUAGCUUUGAAACGGUGGGUCUUACACCCUCAUCCGAUAAUCGUAGUGAAAUUGGUGCCAUUACCGUAAAAUAAGGACAAAACUGUUUUUUUAUUCAGGGCCAAAGCUAAUGCCAUUUCUUGAAUUUCUGGUUACUCAUGAUGCUUGUAUAUGUUUAUAAAACCCUAUUGGGGUUGUGAUUGGCAUUAUUUUAUGACUCGUUAUCGAGUCUCAUUGUAGGGCGUGACGGUGGUUCACGACGCACUUUUGACCACGGUGUAUGAAACAUCACUUACUUGAUUGGUGAGUAUACUACUCACUUAAAUGUUACAAUGUGGCUUCGUUAUAUGUGAAUUUGAUGCCUUGAAGGCUUAUUUGGCUAUUGGAAGUGAUUGAGGUGAGGGUGUACUUGACCGCCCUCACCCCCUUAUGAUUCCAUUCAUGACUGUUUACCGUUUUACUGAAAUACUGCACUUGCUAUAUGAGAUAUUGAAUUCCAUUCAUGGAAAACUGAUUUGGUGUCGUUUGGACGAAUAUCCAACGGCCUUGCUGUAUUACUGAGCUCAACCCCGUAGGUAGUCAAUUGAAUCGAGCCGGCGAGGGCUUGGUCGUGAAAAUUGACAUGCCAAGGGGACUGUACUGGGGAAUCUUGUAGUAAUGAGACUCUUGGUUCCGGUAUAGUCGAGUAUUACCAAAAGCUACUGAUUGGAGUGCGGGCCCGGUUGGGGAAUGUUGGGUGGAAGGAAUGGAAGUGAAGUGAGGUCUACGGUUUGGUACUUUUAACAUUGACGGAGGGUCAAUGAGGUUGGAUCAAGACUGUAAGCGUGGAAAUGGGCUCUUGAGAGCCGUCCGUGUCCUUUUACCGUUUUGUUUCAUUCCUUAAUUGUGUACUUUAAUUGAAAGGUCAUGCUCUAUGCUCUUUGUUGCUUAUGUGGUAGUAACUCACUGGGCUUAAGCUCAUUCCGUUCCAUUUGUUUUCCAUACAGGAAAAUGACCACUUUUGGAAAAGAUUGUGUUAGUUGGUUGUCAAGUUGAGCUGAUGUAAAUGUAUCUUUUGAAUAGCUCUUUGAAUGAAACCCUAAUGUGUAUUGGGUUCAUUUUCUCUUGAUUGGCAAACCGAACAUGUAUAUUCAUGAUGAAUGGUUUUUGUGGCAUGCCAUUUGGUUGUAAAUGUUGAAUGUCAAUGUAUGUAUAUGUUGGAUUGAUGUUUGGUUGAACUCCGGAUUCUGACGUGUCCGGCACUGUUCAUCAUCGGCUUCGAUUUUCGUUUUUUUUAUUUUGUGAUUUUGACCUGUUUGCGCGCGUUGGUGUGUUCCGGAACGUAGUAGAUCGAUGUAAACUGAUCCGUUAGUCCUGGCGAGAGCUGGGCAGGCAGUCCGCUAACCCCUUUGGUUCGCCUUAGGGGAAGGUGGGGCUGUCACAUAUAGCCAAUGGUUAGCUGCCUCUCCAAACCUUCAUCUUCACAAAAUUUUUGGACUGCAUUUGACGUGUACUCCUUACCACGAUCACUCCUCAACUUCUUGAUGUAACAGCCACUUUGUUUCUCAACAAGAGUUUUAAACUUCUUGAAAAUUGAAAGCACCUCGGAUUUUUCUUUCAUGAAAUAGACCCAAGUCAUUCUUGAAAAAUCAUCAAUGAAAAGGAUGAAAUACUUGUUACCUGUGACGGCCCCACCUCUCCCUAGGGCGUACCCCAGGGUUCGGCGGCUCGCCUGCCCAGCUCUCACCGGGACUCAGUCGUUCACUACAGUCCUCAAAUAGAUUACAAUAUAAAUCUCAAAUUUUACAUCAAAUUCUCCAAUAAUUACAUGUCAUAAGCGAAGCGGAAACAAUUCCCAACUAUACAUAAAAUGAUUCCAAAUCCAAACUGUACAAAAUAUAUGCCAUCCGGUCAUACGAAUAAUUGUACAAGCCUUCCUUCGCCACGAGCCCUGUGGAGGGGAACAAAAUAUUUUUGGGGUGAGCUAAAAGCUCAGCGAGUAACCAGUAAAAUCAGUAAUCAAAUCAGUUUCACAAUAUUUCAUUUCAAUGAUGUCAUCAAUCAAACGAUAAGUCAAGAAACAAUUACAACAUUUACAAGAAACCAUACAUGAAAAGGAUACGUUCGUUCGUUCAUUCGUUCCUUCGUUCGUUCUCCUGUAAUUCCCCUUUCCUUCAUUCAUUUGAAAAUGCAUUUUUCAUUUAUCAAUAAAACCCUCGUUCGUUCGUUCGUUCAUUCAACCUUUCCUGGACAUUGACCAGGCUCCACCAACCUCCACCAACCUACAAGGUAAUACUCGAGUAUACCAAACGUUCACCCAGGUCACCAUAUCGCCCGACCAAGUCCGCUUCUGCCUCGAGUCGAUCGGUAACAAGGGGCAGUGGCCAGUUCAGCCAAAAAGGCUUACAUUCAUGCACAAGUAACAUUUCAAUCGUUCCAUCUUUGAAAAUUUCACAUUUAUCGAGGUCGAGUGCGAUAAAUUACAAACUCGCCUAGAAAACUCGUUUUGGAAAUUAUUGAAAGCACUUAACACGUUAUCAAACGAUAAUACAAGUCAUGAAGUCAAGAAAAUAUAGCAAACAAGGAACACUCACAUGCAAGCACGCAUGAUAUGCAAUCGAGUAAAUAAUGCAAGAAAACAGUUCAAAAGUAACUUUGGAAAUAGUUUGAGGUCACUCACCUCCACGGCUCAGGAACCACCCAUCAUAUAUCAUUGUCUUGCUCAAAUCCAAGUCGUAGAUCACAAACUCAAUGCAAUCAAGUCCUUUCAAAGUUCGGACAGCACUUCCACUAAAUUUGCUUACUUUUCCAGCCGUCAAGGCUUCAUUAUUUCCUCAGCCAGUCCCAAAGUCACACAAAUAAGUUCAUUCAAUAACUGUUCAAUAAGCUCCAAGUAGUACAAGUACAAUUCAAGCUAGGGAAGAGUCCGGAAAUGAAAGUUAAGCUCUAAACCAUAAAAACAGUUUUUUGACAUCAGUUUACGGUUUUGGCACCAUUGGCACUACGAUUAUCGGAUGGAGGUUUAAGAUACACCGUUUCGAAGCUAAGAGAUAGGGCUACAAUAUUGCAGAAGGUUACUCAGUCCAGAUCAUAGUGUAGCUAGGUCAAAAUUGACAUAUAUGAAACCAGAAUCUCAUAAACAGGUUGGCUAACCGCACAAUUGUUAACAGCAAUAACUCAGGCUAACGAAGUCCGAUUGAAGUGUAUCUUAUGGUGUUUCGAAGCUAAAACACAACCCUACAUUUCUUAUGAAGACCUACCAGGCCAAAUCAUGUAUUUUAAGGAUCAAAAAUGGAAAACUAAACGAAAACAGAAUUCUGGGCGCGAAACAGGUUUCAUGGACAGUCAAUGGUAUUUCGGUCAUUUCACAUGCUACAGUGGUCGGAUCAAGCUGAAAUUUUGUAGGAAACUAUUUUAUACCCUUGGCUACAACUUUUAUGUUUUGGCCAAAAUCUAAUUCUGUAAGAAUCAUGGUGAAAAGUCACGAUCAGAUUGGGUGAAAAUACAACCUUGUUCACUGAACUCCUACCUAGACCAGUCUGGGUAUUUCCGUCUUAUCUCAGGCUACCCAGCUCGGAUUGGGCUGAAAAUUUACAGGCAACUAGAAAACAUCAUUCUAUACAACUUUCAUGUUUUGUGCUAAGGCCAAUUCAGCGUCUAACUAGGUGGUACAGUGCCGAGCAGAAUUGGGGAAAUGAAACCCUAACUGGAAAUGUUUGCAUUCAAGCCAAACAUUUUCCACUAAAACAUCUCUUUAGCUAUCACAAGUCAUUAAUUUAACAUAAUCAAGAACAAAGGAAGGAUGGCUAGACAUGAUACCUUCAAAUAUCAAGAAAGGUGAUGACUUAGGGAUUUUUCUUCCAAAGCAACUCCACCAAGAGCUUCAAUCUUCCUUAGCUAGCAAGUUUUAUGGAGUGGGUUGCAAUUUAAUCGGUUGAAACUCAAGAUUUGGACAAGAAUUGAAGCAACAAGAUGAAGGAAUUUUUCUCUCCUUUUCUCUAAGAGGUUCGGCCAAGAGCAUGAAAGAAAUGAAGAAAGUUUGUCCAAUUUUUCCAAGAUAAAGAUCAAAAAAGUCUUGGUCAAAAGUCAAGGUCCAAUGGUUUUGUGACAAAUGGUCCUUUAGGGUUUUAAUCUUAUCUUUUUGUCUCUCCAGUAAUAAUCCAUCUAAGUAACAUCUAAUUAUCUCUUAGCACCUUGUAAAAUAAUCACAGUAUCCCAAACUUAACCUAAUUGGCCGAAUUUUUCCGAACUUUCCGCACUAGCGGGUCCCACGUCCGGUAUAUGCUCUUAAUUUCUCAAAAACUAACUGAUAUUAGAAAAAUCAUCUAAAAACCAUAUUUACUCAAUAAAAUUAUCUGGGAAAAUUUUCUAAUAAAGAAAUUGUCAAAAAGGCGGGCGAUCAAUAAAAUAAACCCUAGAAACUUAGAAAAUUUCCGGGUUCUCGCACUCAUUCUUUCGGGGCAUCACAUUACCUCCAUGAGAAGUUGUCUUCAUGGGCCCACAAAUAUCCGUAUGAAUCAGCUCCAAGAUCUUCUUGGCUCGCCAUGCAGCUUCUUUAGGAAAUGGUUGCCGGUGUUGUUUGCCAAGUGCACAACCUUCACAAACUUCAUGUUUCUCCUCAAUUCUUGGUAAACCAUAUGCCAUCCCUCUUUGUUGAAGCACUUUGAGGCUAUGAAAAUUCAAAUGGCCAUACCUCUUGUGCCACAACCAUGAAUCUUCAUUGACAUUUACUUUCAAGGCUUGAUUUUCACUAUAAUUGAAUUUGAUUGGAAAGCUUCGAUUUGCUUGCAUUUGGAUUUUCAUCACAAGCUGUCUACCAUUCUUUUUGUCAUAGAUGCAGCACUCAUGAUCAUCAAAGUUAAGUGCAUAUUUAUGCUCAAGAAGCUGUCCAAGACUCAAUAAAUUUUGGUCUAAAUCAGGAACAAACAAAACAUCACAAAUGAACUUCAUACCUUGCUUGGUUUGGACACCAAUUGUUCCCAAUCCUUGUGCUUGAACUAUGACUCCAUUGCCCAUCUUCACUUCAGUCUUUAUAGAUUCAUCCAAGUCAAUAAAAAUGGAUCUAUCUCUUGUCAUAUGAUUGCUACAACCGCUGUCAAGGUACCACAUAUUGUUCUUGACUUUAGUGGCUGUGUGACAAGCGUAGAAUAAGUUUCUUUCUCCUUGCUUGUCUUCCGAAAAUUGUGCUUGGUGAUUGGUCUUGAAUCUGCAAUCCUUCUCAAUAUGACCAAACCUCUUGCAAUAGUAGCACUUUGGUUUGUCUUUAUGCCAACAGUCUUUCUCAAGAUGGUUGGUCUUACCACAGUAGCUGCAAGAUUGUGAAUUUUCAGCAUUAAAGCCUCUUUGAAGGUUGUUUCUUCCUCUUCCUCUUGAAUUUUUGCCUUUGCCUCUUCCACGGCCAUAUCUACCUCCUCUUUGUGAGUCUCCACCUCUUUGGUAGUUGCAAGAUGGCUCUCGUUCAUUGGUUUUAGGGGUGACAUUCAGCUUUGAUUGGAAUGCGCUUUCAAUAGAUUUUUCAGCAUGUCUAGCCAAUCUUCUCUCAUGAGCUUUCAACGAUCCCAUCACCUCUUGAAAACUCAUUGAAGCAAUAUCUUUUGUCUCCUCAAUUAUGGAUACCAUUGGAUCAAAUUUUGGAGGCAAACUAACAAGAAUUUUUUCAACAAUUCUGCUAUCACUAAUUUCUUCACCAAAGGUUUUCAUUUCAUUUACAAUUGUGGUGAUUUUUGUGUAGUAAUUUUGAAUACUUUCAUCAUCACCCAUCUUCAAAUUUUCAAGAUCUCUUCUAAGAGUUUGAAGAGUAACAUUCUUUACCUUAAGAUUUCCUUGAAACUCCUUUUGUAGAAUCUCCCAUGCUUCCUUGGCAUGAUCAGCUCCCAUAAUUCUUGAAAAAAUAUCUGAACUCACACCUUGCUAGAUGUGUGAAAGAGCCUUUGCAUCCUUCUUCCUAUGCUCUUUAAGUGCCUUUAAUUCUUGAUUGGUGAGACCUUCUUCACUUUUUGGUUCUCUAUAGCCAUUCUCUACAUAUUCCCACAAAUCUUGUGAUCUAAAAAUUGUUCUCAUUUUUACGAACCAAUGAUCAUAGUGCUCACCAGAGAAUAUGGGAAUUGGAAGACCAUCACUAGUAUGAUUGGCCAUCUUGUAGUUAGAAAUCUCUCAAAAUUUUCUGGUUUUGGGGUAUGAACUAAGGCAAUGAAACCUUAGCUCUGGUACCAAUCUGUUGGAUAUUAGGCCAAGAAUUGAGAGGAAUAUUUGGAGACAAGGGUGGCUUCAAUUGUUUCUUUCUUUUAUUUCUUUCACUCUCUUAUAUUGGUUUGGAGUUUACAAGGUCAAUUUAUACUUGUAAAUGAUCAUUCUAGAUACAUAGAGAAAUGUUCCAACCAUCCCACCAACUCUCUUAAUUUCCAUCAUUCUAGAGAAUAUUGCAACUAUCUAGAAAGCUUUCCAACUACCUCAUUAAUCAAGUUUAAUUGAUUUAGAACAUUAUUCAACAAAGAGAAAAACAAAAACUCUCUCUUACUUAUAACAAUGGUUAAGUGACAGGACUCUCUAUCCCAUAAGACAACACCAUAAAGAUUGUACAUAUGGAAUGCGAUCAUAUUAGCAUUAAUGCAUCUGAUCUCAUCAGAAUCCUGAAGAUUUUGUACAUAUAUGUCAUAUAGAAAUAGAGAGACAGAAGUCAUAUUAGUUAUCUCCAAAUAGAGAUAAAGGUCUCCUUGCCGCUCUUGUGAAAUAUGCUGAAGUGCUUGUAUUUGCCGAGUUCGUAGAAGUAAGGGAGGCAGAUAAUGCACUCAUGCGGACAUUAGCAUGAGAAUCAUUCAUGCUAGCUUCUUUCUCAUCUUCUUUUAUCGUAUCCAACAUCUUUGUGGCUCGUUGCCUCAUAACUUGAACGAAUUGUGGAGGUGCUGCCUCUGUUACAAAUCUAGCAAUUCUGAAAUUUGCCAUAUUUUCUUGCUUUUCUCUUGGAAGUACUACUAUGAAGUAAAGUAGGAGGGAUUACAAGAUUGUCUGGACUUAGGGUGGAGAUAAGGUAUAGUUGGUGGAUAACCAAUGUAACCCGUUAAGAUGGGAAUAUAUAGGGGUGUUUGGGGAAGGGGGCGGUGGAAUGGUUGGUUCUCUUGUGGCUUAAAUUUCUUUCCAAUCUCUAAACGAAUUGAAAUAGCUAAUGACCAUUGGAUUGCAUC
rnacentral:lncRNA from 1 species